UGGGGAAUAUUGCACAAUGGGCGCAAGCCUGAUGCAGCCAUGCCGCGUGUGUGAAGAAGGCCUUCGGGUUGUAAAGCACUUUCAGCGAGGAGGAAGGUGGUGAACUUAAUACGUUCAUCAAUUGACGUUACUCGCAGAAGAAGCACCGGCUAACUCCGUGCCAGCAGCCGCGGUAAUACGGAGGGUGCAAGCGUUAAUCGGAAUUACUGGGCGUAAAGCGCACGCAGGCGGUUUGUUAAGUCAGAUGUGAAAUCCCCGGGCUCAACCUGGGAACUGCAUUUGAAACUGGCAAGCUAGAGUCUCGUAGAGGGGGGUAGAAUUCCAGGUGUAGCGGUGAAAUGCGUAGAGAUCUGGAGGAAUACCGGUGGCGAAGGCGGCCCCCUGGACGAAGACUGACGCUCAGGUGCGAAAGCGUGGGGCAGCAAACAGGAUUAGAUACCCUGGUAGUCCACGCUGUAAACGAUGUCGAUUUUGGAGGUUGUGCCCUUGAGGCGUGGCUUCCGGAGCUAACGCGUUAAAUCGACCGCCUGGGGAGUACGGCCGCAAGGUUAAAACUCAAAUGAAUUGACGGGGUCAUAGCUG
rnacentral:rRNA from 1 species